rnacentral:rRNA from 1 species
CCUACGGGAGGCAGCAGUGAGGAAUAUUGGUCAAUGGGAGAGAUCCUGAACCAGCCAAGCCGCGUGAGGGAAGACGGCCCUAUGGGUUGUAAACCUCUUUUGUCGGAGAACAAAACCCGGGACGUGUCCCGGACUGCGUGUAUCCGAAGAAAAAGCAUCGGCUAACUCUGUGCCAGCAGCCGCGGUAAUACGGAGGAUGCGAGCGUUAUCCGGAUUUAUUGGGUUUAAAGGGUGCGUAGGCGGUCCGUUAAGUCAGCGGUAAAAUUGCGGGGCUCAACCCCGUCGAGCCGUUGAAACUGGGAGACUGGAGUGUGGGAGAGGUACGCGGAAUGCGCGGUGUAGCGGUGAAAUGCAUAGAUAUCGCGCAGAACUCCGAUUGCGAAGGCAGCGUACCGGCGCCAGACUGACGCUGAGGCACGAAAGCGUGGGGAUCGAACAGGAUUAGAUACCCGGGUAGUC